rnacentral:lncRNA from 1 species
GACGGUGACUCAAUCUGCCCAGGCUGGAGUGCGGUGACCUGAACACAGCUCACUGAAGCCUUGACUUCCCGGGUUCAAGCAAUUCUCCUGCCUCAGCCUCCCAAGGAGCUGGGACCACAGGUGGCCACAUGAAAGGACAGGAGGGAGGCCUCCAGGAGCUAAAUGUGGCCCCCAGCUGAAGCCCAGCCUGCAACCACAAGGAACUGGAUUCUGCCAGCAACCUGAAUGCACUUAGAAGCGGUUUCUCUCUGGAGCCUCCUGAUAGGAGCCCAGCCAGCCAACACCUUGAUUUUGGCCUUGUGAGACCUAGAGCAGAGAAACCUUCUAAGCCAUUCGUGACUUCUGACCUUCAGGACUAUGAUGAUAAAUGUGUGUUAUUUUGAGCUGUUAAUUUGUGAUAAUUUGUUGUAGCAGCAGUUGAAAACUUGAAGCUUAGUCUGCAGAAAGUCUAAGGAUGGAUAAAAAUGAAUGAAGACCCUCAAAGCCGUGCCCCCACCUUAUUAUUCUCCUCUGGGUUCUCCUAACCCUAAUUCUAACCCUAUCUUCUUUUUUUUUUUUUAUACUUUAAGUUCUAGGGUAUGUGAUCACAACUUGCAGGUUUGUUACAUAUGUAUACACGUGCGAUGUUGGUGUGCUGCACCCAUUAACUCGUCAUUUACAUUAGGUAUAUCACCUAAUGCUAUCCCUCCCCUCUCCCCACCAACCCCACAAUAGGCCCCAGUGUGUGAUGUUCCCCUUCCUGUGUCCAAGUGUUCUCAUUGUUCAAUUCCCACCUAUAAGUGAGAACAUGCGGUGUUUGGUUUUUUGUCCUUGUGAUAGUUUGUUGAGAAUGAUGGUUUCCAGUUUCAUCCAUGUCCCUACAAAGGACAUGAACUCAUCCUUUUUUAUGGCUGCAUAGUAUUCCAUGGUGUAUAUGUGCCACAUUUUCUUAAUCCAGUCUAUCAUUGAUGGACAUUUGGGUUGAUUCCAAGUCUUUGCUGUUGUGAAUAGUGCUGCAAUAAACGUAUGUGUGCAUAUGUCUUUAUAGCAGCAUGAUUUAUAAUCCUUUGGGUAUAUACCCAGUAAUGGGAUUGCUGGGUCAAAUGAUAUUUCUAGUUCUAGAUCCUUGAGAAAUAGCCACACUGUCUUCCACAAUGGUUGAACUAGUUUAUAGACCCACCAACAGUGUAAAGGUGUUCCUAUUUCUCCACAUCCUCUCCAGCACCUGUUGUUUCCUGACUUUUUAAUGAUCGCCA